CCCCAGACUCCUACGGGAGGCAGCAGUAGGGAAUAUUGCUCAAUGGGGGAAACCCUGAUGCAGCGACGCCGCGUGGGUGAAGAAGCGCCUCGGCGCGUAAAGCCCUGUCAGCAGGGAAGAAAAUGACGGUACCUGAAGAAGAAGCCCCGGCUAACUACGUGCCAGCAGCCGCGGUAAUACGUAGGGAGCGAGCGUUGUCCGGAAUUACUGGGUGUAAAGGGAGCGUAGGCGGGGAUGCAAGUUGGGUGUUAAAUCUACCGGCUCAACUGGUAGUCGCACUCAAAACUGCAGCUCUUGAGUGAAGUAGAGGCAGGCGGAAUUCCUAGUGUAGCGGUGAAAUGCGUAGAUAUUAGGAGGAACACCAGUGGCGAAGGCGGCCUGCUGGGCUUUUACUGACGCUGAGGCUCGAAAGUGUGGGGAGCAAACAGGAUUAGAUACCCCCGUAAAA
rnacentral:rRNA from 1 species